AUCCCAACAAUCUGGAAUU
rnacentral:siRNA from 1 species